rnacentral:lncRNA from 1 species
GCAUUCAAUUUUCUAUGACUAUGUUUUUAGGAUUAAUUUAUGUAUAUAGAAUGUGUUUAAAUUACUACUCAAUAUAUUAUAAUAUUUUUUUAUACGCUCGUUAACGGAACGUAUUAUGGUAUACUGUUGUCCCUCUGUUGUCAACAUGUCGGACAUUAACUCAAAAACUCUUUAACCAAUUUGCAUUAAACUUUGGGAAAUUGUUUAUAUCUAUUGACGUGAGCUCCCUUUUAUUUUUUUUUUUUUAUAAAUUUUAGAUUUUAAGUUUCUGGGUAAUGGGUUUUUAUUCAAUAAAAUUGGUGGUUUUUUUU